AGUGAACGCUGGCGGCGUGCUUAACACAUGCAAGUCGAACGAGAACGGGUUAUAGCUUGCUAUAAUUGUCAGCUAAGUGGCGCACGGGUGAGUAAUGUAUAGGUAAUAUGCCUCUUACUAAGGGAUAACAAAUGGAAACGUUUGCUAAUACCUUAUACUCCUUAUUAACAUAAGUUAAUAAGGGAAAGAUUUAUUGGUAAGAGAUUAGCCUGUAUUGUAUCAGUUAGUUGGUGGGGUAAUGGCUUACCAAGACUAUGACACAUAACUGGUUUGAGAGGAUGAGCAGUCACACGGGAACUGAGACACGGUCCAGACUCCUACGGGAGGCAGCAGUGGGGAAUAUUGCACAAUGGACGGAAGUCUGAUGCAGCAACGCCGCGUGGAGGAUGACACAUUUCGGUGCGUAAACUCCUUUUAUAUGAGAAGAUAAUGACGGUAUUAUAUGAAUAAGCACCGGCUAACUCCGUGCCAGCAGCCGCCGUAA
rnacentral:rRNA from 1 species